rnacentral:rRNA from 1 species
UACGAAGGUGGCAAGCGUUGUUUGGAUUUACUGGGCGUAAAGGGUGCGUAGGCGGGUCUUUAAGUCAGGGGUGAAAUCCUGGAGCUCAACUCCAGAACUGCCUUUGAUACUGAAGAUCUUGAGUUCGGGAGAGGUGAGUGGAACUGCGAGUGUAGAGGUGAAAUUCGUAGAUAUUCGCAAGAACACCAGUGGCGAAGGCGGCUCACUGGCCCGAUACUGACGCUGAGGCACGAAAGCGUGGGGAGCAAACAGG